CCUACGGGAGGCAGCAGUGAGGAAUAUUGGUCAAUGGACGAGAGCCUGAACCAGCCAAGUAGCGUGAAGGAUGACUGCUCUAUGGGUUGUAAACUUCUUUUAUAGAGGAAUAAAACGAGGCACGCGUGCCUCUUCGCAUGUACUUUAUGAAUAAGGAUCGGCUAACUCCGUGCCAGCAGCCGCGGUAAUACGGAGGAUCCGAGCGUUAUCCGGAUUUAUUGGGUUUAAAGGGUGCGUAGAUGGGUUGUUAAGUCAGUUGUGAAAGUUUGGGGCUCAACCGUAAAAUUGCAAUUGAUACUGGCGGUCUUGAGUACGUUUGAGGUAGGCGGAAUUCGUGGUGUAGCGGUGAAAUGCAUAGAUAUCACGAAGAACCCCGAUGGCGAAGGCAGCUUACUAAGCUGUGACUGACAUUGAUGCUCGAAAGUGUGGGUAUCAAACAGGAUUAGAUACCCCAGUAGUC
rnacentral:rRNA from 1 species